rnacentral:rRNA from 1 species
GUGCCAGCAGCCGCGGUAAUACGGAGGGGGCUAGCGUUGUUCGGAAUUACUGGGCGUAAAGCGCACGUAGGCGGAUCAGUCAGUCAGGGGUGAAAUCCCGGGGCUCAACCCCGGAACUGCCUUUGAUACUGCUGGUCUGGAGGUCGAGAGAGGUGAGUGGAAUUCCGAGUGUAGAGGUGAAAUUCGUAGAUAUUCGGAGGAACACCAGUGGCGAAGGCGGCUCACUGGCUCGAUACUGACGCUGAGGUGCGAAAGCGUGGGGAGCAAACAGGAUUAGAUACCCCCGUAGUCC